CCUCAGUUUUCCUGUUCUUAGCUGACAGGAAUGGCACCCGGUGUGGUCUUCAGCUGCUGUAGCCCAUCUUCUUCAAGGCUGGACGUGUUGUGUGUUUAGAGAUGGUAUUCUGCCCAUUCUUCUCUGACGUCUCACAUCAACAAGGAAAAGCUGCUGGUGAGGAGGUGAAGAAAAGAAAGGGAGGAAGGAAGGAAGGAAGGGCGUAAAGGUUGAGAGAGAAAAGAAGGAUGAGAAGAAAAGGAGACGGAAGGUUUGAAGAAAGUGACCCGAAGUUUGUGUGCGUGGAUCCUGGAGAAGAUAAGAUGUUCUGAAGAUGGAAGCCCAAAAUCUAACCAACAUGACACCCACACUGGCCAUGAUGUGAAGGCUGUGCGCUGCUGAUACAGAGCUGAGAAGCUGCACCGCUGAGAGAGAAGCAAAGAAUGCCCAGAUGGUGAACCAAUGAGGGGGGACCACUGUGUUCCUGUAUGUGGUCUUACCUCAGCGAAGGUGCCAGGAGUCUUCCAAAUCAUCCAGAUAAUUCCCAGAGGGAUGCACACCAUCGAGGACAUGGCCAUGAACCAGCCGAUGCCAUAGCCCCAGUCAGG